rnacentral:rRNA from 1 species
CCCGACUGCUAUUUGGGUGAGGAUAAGCCAUGCGAGUCGAAUGGGAGACCUAAAUUUCCCAUGGCGAACUGCUCAGUAACACAUGAUCAACUUACCCUAUAGAGAAAAAUAACCUCGGGAAACUGAGGAUAAUGUUUCAUAGUUGAAAAGGCUUGGAAAAGUUUUUCAAUGAAAGGGAUAAGGAAAAUGGUUCUUAUCUGCUAUAGGAUAGGAUCGUGGUCGAUUAUGGUUGUUGGUGAGGUAACGGCUCACCAAGCCGAUAAUCGAUAGGGGCCGUGAGAGCGGGAGCCCCGAGAUGGGUACUGAGACAACGACCCAGGCCUUACGAGGCGCAGCAGGCGCGGAACCUCCGCAAUACACGAAAGUGUGACGGGGUUACCCAAAGUGUUCAAUUUGAACUGUGGUAGGUGAGUAAUGUCCCCUACUAGAAAGGAGAGGGCAAGGCUGGUGCCAGCCGCCGCGGUAAAACCAGCUCUUCAAGUGGUCGGGAUAAUAUUGGGCUUAAAGUGUCCGUAGCUUGUAUAAUAAGUUCCUGGUAAAAUCUAAUAGCUUAACUAUUAGUAUGCUAGGAAUACUGUUAUACUAGAGGGCGGGAGAGGUUUGAGGUACUUCAGGGGUAGGGGUGAAAUCCUAUAAUCCUUGAAGGACCACCAGUGGCGAAGGCGUCAGACUGGAACGCGCCUGACAGUGAGGGACGAAAGCCAGGGGAGCGAACCGGAUUAGAUACCCGGGUAGUCCUGGCCGUAAACGAUGCACACUAGGUGUUGGUAUGGCUAUGAGCCAUAUCAGUGCCGAAGGGAAACCAUUAAGUGUGCCGCCUGGGAAGUACGGUCGCAAGGCUAAAACUUAAAGGAAUUGGCGGGGGAGCACCACAAGGGGUGAAGCCUGCGGUUCA